rnacentral:rRNA from 1 species
UACGUAGGUGGCGAGCGUUAUCCGGAUUUAUUGGGCGUAAAGCGUGCGCAGGCGGUUUGUUAAGUCUAAAAUGAAAGCCCGAAGCUCAACUUCGGUUUGUUUUAGAAACUGACUUACUCGAGUAUGGUAGAGGCAAGUGGAAUUUCUAGUGUAGCGGUAGAAUGCGUAGAUAUUAGAAGGAACACCAGUGGCGAAAGCGACUUGCUAGGCCAUCACUGACGCUCAUGCACGAAAGCGUGGGGAGCAAAUAGGAUUAGAUACCCUAGUAGUCCACGCUGUAAACGAUGAUCACUAAGUGUCGGGUUACCGGUGCUGAAGUUAACACAUUAAGUGAUCCGCCUGAGUAGUACGGUCGCAAGGCUGAA